rnacentral:rRNA from 1 species
UACGUAGGGGGCGAGCGUUGUCCGGAUUUAUUGGGCGUAAAGAGCUCGUAGGCGGUUCAGUAAGUCGGGUGUGAAAACUCUGGGCUCAACCCAGAGACGCCACCCGAUACUGCUGUGACUUGAGUACGGUAGGGGAGUGGGGAAUUCCUGGUGUAGCGGUGAAAUGCGCAGAUAUCAGGAGGAACACCAGUGGCGAAGGCGCCACUCUGGGCCGUAACUGACGCUGAGGAGCGAAAGCGUGGGUAGCAAACAGG